rnacentral:rRNA from 1 species
UUUUGGCCAAUGGGGGCAACCCUGACCCAGCAAUGCUGCGUGAGUGAAGAAGGCCUUCGGGUUGUAAAGCUCUUUUGUCAGGGAAGAAACACCGGCUCUAACACAGUCCGGGAAUGACGGUACCUGAAGAAUAAGCACCGGCUAACUACGUGCCAGCAGCCGCGGUAAUACGUAGGGUGCAAGCGUUAAUCGGAAUUACUGGGCGUAAAGCGUGCGCAGGCGGUUAUACAAGACAGGCGUUAAAUCCCCGGGCUUAACCUGGGAAUGGCGCCUGUGACUGUAUAGCUAGAGUGUGUCAGAGGGGGGUAGAAUUCCACGUGUAGCAGUGAAAUGCGUAGAUAUGUGGAGGAAUACCAAUGGCGAAGGCAGCCCCCUGGGAUAACACUGACGCUCAUGCAGAAA